GAUGAAGAACGCAGUGAAAUGCGAUACGUAAUGUGAAUUGCAGAAUUCAGUGAAUCAUCGAAUCUUUGAACGCACAUUGCGCCUGCCAGCACUCUGGCAGGCAUGCCUGUUCGAGCGUCAUUUCAACCAUCAAGCCCUAGGCUUGCGUUGGAGCCCUGCGGCUGCCGCAGGCCCCUAAAAGCAGUGGCGGGCUCGCUAUCACACCGAGUGCAGUAGAUUACUCUUCGCUCAGGGCGUGGGGUGGGUUCCAGCCGUGAAACCCCCUACUUCUCAAGGUUGACCUCGGAUCAGGUAGGAAUACCCGCUGAACUUAAGCAUAUCAUAAGCGGAGGA
rnacentral:misc_RNA from 1 species